UACGUAGGGGCAAGCGUUGUCCGGAAUCAUUGGCGUAAAGAGCGUGUAGGCGGCCAGGUAGGUCUGCUGUGAAAAACUCGAGGCUCAACCUCGAGACGUCGGCGGAAACCAUCUGGCUAGAGUCCGGAAGAGGAGAGUGGAAUUCCUGGUGUAGCGGUGAAAUGCGCAGAUAUCAGGAAGAACACCCCUGGCGAAGGCGGCUCUCUGGGACGGUACUGACGCUGAGGAAGAAAAGCUAGGGGGAGCGAAACGGG
rnacentral:rRNA from 1 species